AGGGAAAAAAAAAAAGAAGAGAGCUAGGUGGUCUGCCUAGAUGAAAAUAUUUUGGACACUCUGUUGUAUUUAUAUGAUGAAUGAAAAUUUGAUGCCCAUAGUAGUUAAGUCCUAGCAAGCCAAGUAGUGGUGGCCACCUCACACCCUCCAACCAGGGUGCUGGCCAAUGGAGAGAGUAUGGGUAAUCAACAUUACCUUGUGUCACACAGUUCCUCUUAUGGUUUUUCCACCUACAAGUAAUUUGUUUUCUUCAUUGAUAGGUUGCUUUAAACAUUGUUUCAGGUUGGUUACCUUCUUGGCUUAGG
rnacentral:misc_RNA from 1 species